GCUGAGCAACUGGAAGACAAACAAUAGCAACCAAAGUUAGUGUAAAUGGCUUAUGUUCUGUUAAUUGCCUUGUGACUCCAACUUCCUGGUGUAAUCACCUCUUCCUGUGGCUAAAUUAUCAGAAAGUAAGUUUAGGAGGUUAAAAGUGUGGAAACUGUAUAUACACAAAUGCUGUCGGAAAGGUUUGUGCUUCCUCUUGAUCUUGCUUUGUCUACAGAUCAAAGAUUUCACUCCAUCUAAGUACAAACUAAACUAUUUUUAAUGCUCCAAACCGGAAAAACAACCUGUGUCCUGCAAGUGUUUGUGUACCACAUAAAUCAGCAUGGUCUGGCACUGACACCAGGCCAGAGUUCAGCUACUUCCCCUUUCCAGGAAUGAAGACUCUGGUUGGUUUGUGUGAGGCCCUGUUUACUGAAAACUAUUCAGACAGUACAGAGGGCGGUUAACUGGAGAAAAACAGGACAUGGGGCGUGUGCAGCUAAUCACUAGCUAUGUGAUGGAGCCUCAUAAAACUUUCAAGCUGGGUCUCUGGGCAUUUUCAUUGACUCUGAUAAAAGUAAUUCACAUGGACCUUUCCUGUGUCCUGAGAGGCAGAGGAUUUUAUGCAUGUUGUACCUUUAUCAUCAAACAGUACUGGGCAAUUCCCUUAGCAAGCUCCAUUUCAAAAGAUUUUUUUAACCCCACUGAAAACAAGCUUAGAAGGUUCUAUUAAAAGGGUUUAAUGUUUGACUUUCUUUGCUGGUAUGAGAUGGCUCUCUGAAUAUACGAAAAUAUAUACAUAUGUGUGUGUGUAUAUAUAUAUAUAUACACACACACACACACAAAAUACUCUCAAAUGUGCAGUGUCCUAGGGUUAGGACUAUAGAGGACCACUGACAAAUACUAGUUCAUCAAUUCAUUCAGAGAACAUUCAUUGAACAUUUAUUAGGUGAAAAUCACCUUGGGGGCAACAAAGAUAAAUAAAACAGUCCCAACCCUCAAAAUCCUUAGUAGUGUUUCCUUAAAAAAAAAUUGCCCAGCAAGGGAAGAGGGUUAAGAAAUUGGUGGUAAAGCAUUGCAGUGCAGCUGGGAUUGGCUGUGUUCCACAGUUAAAUUGGGAAUAAAUCAUUUGCAAUGAAAGAUGGGCUGCAUCUCCCUGCAUGAGCAGGAUUUUCUAUACUGGAUCAAAUCAACACCCCAGGCAACAUCACAGAUGUAGAACCAAUGCCAUUGUAUUUAUUAAGCAAUGCUCACUUAUUGGGAGUUUCCAAAAACAAGCAAGCAGUUGAAGAUUCAGAAUUUAGAUCCUGAUAUUUGUGAACCAAAGAGUUUAACAACCAACUUACUAGGGAUAUCCCUAUAUGAUUUUUUUUUUAAAUGAGAUGCUCAUUUUCAUUUGGAGGGAAGGGGACAAAUUCUGCAGCCUAAGUACAUAUUUAUUGUGUUAUUUAUUGUUAUUUUAUGUGUUGAAGUUUUAAGACAAUACAUUAAGGACCUGUUAUAUGAGAGGCAUCAGUUCUAGGUAAUGGGGACACAAAGGCAGGGAUAAUAACAAUUGAUUCUGUUCUCAAGGAGUUUAAAAUCUUACAGAAGAAAGGAUAUAUAGACAGGUAAGUAUGAUAUAAGAGAAUGAGAUAAGGGCAAAGGAGAGGCCCAGGCAAAGUGCUGUGAGAAAUUUGAGGGAAAAAAGAUCACUUUCAGUUGAAGGGUGUAUGAGCUUGGGCUACAGUCACAUCCAUUUGCUAGAUGACUAAAGGAAAAGAUAUGUCUGUCUCUGUUCUCUUCUCAUGGUGGACAAGUCUGACUGGCUCUGAGCCUCCAUCCCUUCUGGCCAUACUUGAUGCCUUGGACCUGCUCUGAUCUAAAGCUGAACCUAGAAACAAGCAAAGGCCUGGCUCUGCAGCCUUUUCUUCAUCUUUCUGUGUUAGGAAGAUUUACAAGGAUGUACAUCCAGGGCUGUCAUCCUGCCGUCAUGAAAAAAGGGAUCUUACUAUACUCGAGAACAACUUGAAUUCAACGAGCUUGUUCAAUUGUAAAAAUUCAUCCCAAGAGGUUGAAGCGCACUGACAUUCCCUAAGUCAAGUCUGAUGCCAUGCCUGGGUGACAAACAGCCCUUCAGUUUAUGGCUUCAGCUGAGAGCUUUCAGACCUGGAUGGCUGCCUCCUCUUUGAACGCUCAAGUUUGCCUCAGAAUGAAGCCAAAAUUUAUCUCUCCCAAAUUUCUUUUGUCAUGUUCCUAUUAAAAUAACUCCAAAUGUAAUAUUUGAAUCUGAAAGGUUCCUUUAGAGAUGAGCCAGAUGGGCUGGUAUCAGAUAGCACUAGCUGGUCAAAUCAGUUUUGUUGUUUCAGGCAGCGGAAGAAAGCCCCACUCAUUUCCAGAGGACUUGCUAGUUUUCUACUGCAUUUCUCUGAGAAGCUCACAGUCCACUUGAGAAUUACGAAAUUCUGAAAGCCUUAAGACAGGUCCCUAAAGCACCGAUGAUUUUAACGUUAAAAACUGACAGUGCUCGAAGCAGGCAGUAAGGGAUUUAGAAGGCAAACCGCAUAUUGUAAGGAUCAAGUGGAGAAUGGUGCUGAGGCUGAAAUUUGCUCCCAUGGAGCCUCCCUCCUCCAUUUCUCUGUAGGAAUGGGCUUUUCGCUGCAGAGUAGCCAAGAGCCUUUAGGACCUAUAUUCCUAGUCCUGGGAUUACAAAUGGCCAGGCCAGCAAGGGUGUGUGCAACCUGGUAGCCCUCCGUCCAUCCCUCUAGGGCCUAGCUAUUGGGACUAAGUGAAACCUCCAAGCCCCCAGCCCUCAUGGAUGUCACUGGGAAAGAUGACUGGGUGGGCCAGAGUCAAAGUAAGGCCCUUAGAAAGGAGGAUGACAUUCUAGGGGCAAAAUAUAGGAAAAUGAGAAGGUAUUGUCCCUAUCCCUGUUGCCCAACAGUACCUGUCCACCUUUUCUGUGCUGUUUCUCCCUCAUUCUUUAUGUCUGUCACCAGCUCCCCACCCCCAAAGGGAUUUGGGCCAGUGAGGCAGUGUAGGGAUGAGA